rnacentral:lncRNA from 1 species
GCUUCUGCUCAUCACUGGCUUUACUCCGUCAACUUCUUGUUAACAGUCUGAGUAAGACUGUUAAUACAGUUUUGGGACCAGAUAAGACUUGCUGUUAACAGGUUUUGAGUAUUAGACAACUUUGCUGACUAGUUGCUCUGUUACCAGACAAAACAGAUAUUUGCUGACAGGAUCUGGCGUCCGGGGCUGAAUCUGAUCAUUCUGGUGUGGAGAUAUGAUCUAACACAAUCCUACUUGAGGAUGUGACGAUGAAGACAACACAAGAAGUCAGAGAAAAUAAGAUAAAUGAAGAAGAAGAGAAAAGGUGGGACAAAGCAGAGCCUUUUGAAGAAAUAAAAGCGGAUACUGAGUUACCAGAGGAGUACUAUCAUGGGCUUGAGGAUUUACCCUGGAGCCUGAACUCACUGGAGCAGUUACUGUAUAUCAGCCUGCCAGCAUGGAUACAAAGAGCUCUGCUUUGUAACUUAGCUGAGCGGUUUGGCAUCUGGACCUUUCACAACAACUUCCUGCCGUGUCGUCUCAUAUCCUACACCCUACUCCCGUACACUCUGCCUGCUUCAGCUGUCAUCUCAUUCAUCUACAGAUUUUUGUGCUGGGUGAAGAAAAUUCCCCACCAGGUUCUGAAUGCGGGCAGAGAAUUCAAACAGGAAGUGAUGGCACAUCCGCGGUUAGUCUUUACACACUUGAGAGGACUUUUGCCGAACAGAACCAGCCGGAGCGCAGGAGCCAGACUCAGCCUCUCUGGUCUAGACGACGAUCUCUCCUCAGCUUCCAGCUCACCGGAUCCGGCGGUUUCUGCAAAAAGACAGCUGACAUCCUUACAGACGCAGAGCAACUAUCUUCAGCCUUCCUCCUGCAGCUCAACUUAGAGCUAGAAAUGGACAGCCAUCCUGAACCACUACAGCUUCAGAAGGACCGGCUAGAUUGUGAGGGAAGUUUAUUACUAAACACAGAAGUAGAUGAGAAUCUAUCUUCUCCUUUUAUUUCUGACAUGGAUGUACAAGAGGAAGACUGAAUGACUGUGUGUUAUAUUGCAAACAAAAGUCUCUACUGCAGAAUAGUAGAAUAUGCGGUUAAUACUCUGAACAUGCCAAUGUAUACAUAUCAGUGUUGUUAUUAUAAUUAAUUGAAAACUGAAAUAGAACUGAAAUAAAAUAAAUUUUAGAUAAACCUAAAAAGAAUAAAAAUGAGAAAUGCUGCUUUGGGAAUGAAACUAAAACAAGUUAAAGUACUAAAAUUACUAAAACAAAAGCUAUAUAUAUA